CAAAAAACGGAAAACAAAGUAAUACUACACAAAGACUUUUAUCAGAGAAUCAAGUUAGUCUGAUUACACUUGAUUCUCUGAUCAAGUUAAUGGAAGAACUUCCUGCCAAAAUCUUAUAUUACAAUCACCAUUGUCAAUCCUUGGAUUCAAUACAUGUAAAAACUGCCAAAUCCCGAAUCUCUUCUUGCAAUUUCCUCCUCCUAAGGCCUAACCAUGUCUGGAUCAAAUGAACAUCAGUCCUCUACCGUGGACACUCCUCCUCCCAAGUAAAUAACUUCAAGUGCUUUCACUACCCUUUUAACGGAUGUUACGUUCCUGUUGAGAUUUCUGUUGAGUUCGGAGACAAUAAAGACACAUCAAGUUGGAAAGGAAGUGAAGAAUUCAGUGCUACUAAUUAGGCUGGGGGAUUUCAUGACUGAAAAUUAGGGGAAGAUUUUCUGAUAGUUUGUUGGAAGAAAUCAUGGUUGAAAAUGAAAUGUGUUCUCCCCCAUUUUCAGCUAUAGAUACUGGCCAUCAGUAAGAGCAUGAUAGAGCCUGCACAAGUAGCUUGAAGCAGCAAGCAAGGCAGAGAUAGAAAGAAGCGUGAGGCAACUAUAUAAAAUGAGAGUUGAGUUGACGUGUUCCCCCUCCUCAUUUCUCCUCUCGUUUACUGUAGAUUGUAGUUUUCUCUCUAUUUAAUGAAAUUGGCUGCUCUGUGAACAUAGAUAGUUGCCAAACAUUGUGUUCUGACAUCAAUCUUAGUCCUAACAAUAGCUUCUACCUUUUUUUUUUCCCUUCUUCAGAGCAAGUCAAAAUUUCUCUCCUUUUCGAAGUAACAACUUGGAAAACGAAAUAACGGGGAGUAUUGCUCGACCAGAAAAGGGUACUCGUAAAAGAACGAGCCUAUGCGUUAGCAGAGCAUAACCUCUCUCAUAAUUCUUUAUUUUAUUUGUGCUAACAUCUCAAACCGCAAUCCAGAAUCUUAAAGCCCAUCACUACUUGCGAUACAUGAAGUUUCCUGGCAGUAAUAAUAAACAAAGCAUUUGCUUGUAAGUAGAAAAUGGAUUUUCACUCCUUUUAGAUUCCCUCCAAAACCAUACCAAUGACCAUAACACACCGUAAUGAUGAUGAAAAAAAAUACUCCAAAACAUAAACUAAAACUAUAUAAAGAGAUUACUUCCCACUGUCUUGUCUCUCAAAACAAACAGGCAGAUGAGUGACUGCUUAUAUCUCUCCUUCGUGCCUGCAUCAACCGCCAAACCCUAGUCACUCUGCAAUUUCCUUUCUCUAAUACUAAAAAAUAUGAAAUCCAAUGACCCCCCCGCAAGAUCAAGAAUCCUCCACCAUUGAUCACACUCCUCCAUUCCAAUCUCAUACCCAAUCAAAACCUUUGAAGAGCUUGAAACUCGUUCUUAGCUUGAAUCUUUUCACUGCCCAUUUAACAAAUCUUAUGUUCCUUUAAAACCCAAGUCUUAGCCAAAUAGGCCUAGGCGUCUUGUUCGCCAUGAUAUGCAAAGAGGUUAUGUGAAUGACAAGUGGGUUCAAGGAGGGACUAAUCCUGAUGCUUAUGCUACUUGGCAUUGGUAUUUGAUUGAUGUUUUCGUCUACUUCUCUCAUAGUUUGUUUACCUUGCCUCCUCCUUGCUGGACUAAUACUGUUCACAGACGUGGUGUCAAGGAGGCUGGUGUGCGUUGGCGGGGCAGGCGACAGAGCUAGCUAGUUGCAGAGGUGAAGGCCUCCGAGUAUAAAUUAUGGCCAUUUUGGAGUUUACGAGUGAAAAGAUUUUUUCUUUUUGGAUUAUUUUGAAUGGGCAGGAAGCUGGUUUGGCAGUGAAAUUGUGGGUUCUGGUUCUUUUGUAGUUUACCAUAGUCUUUUCCUUUUCAGUUUGUAUUGAUGUUUGAAAAUGAAGAAAGAUUUGUUGCAAUAAUGUCUCAUAUGGUAGGCUUUUGCAAUAGUUUACCAUAGUCUUUUCCUUUUCAGUUCAAAUCUUCUAAAUAACAUAUUUAGUUGAUUUAAAAAAAUGGCUGGUUCAAUGGUAGUGUACAUUAGUGGUAUAACCUUUGCCGGGAAAACUUAAGACUUUUUUUCUGUGA